UACGUAGGCGGUUCCGUGUGUCGGGUGUGAAAUCCCACGGCUUACCCGUGGAACUGCACCCGAAACUGCGGGGCUAGAGUGCAGGAGGGGAGAGCGGAAUUCUUAGUGUAGCGGUGAAAUGCGUUGAUAUUAAGAAGAACACCGGUGGCGAAGGCGGCUCUCUGGAAUGUUACUGACGCUGAUGUACGAAAGUUGGGGAGCAAACA
rnacentral:rRNA from 1 species